rnacentral:rRNA from 1 species
UCUACUUGACUAGCUGAGAGGAGGUGCAUGGCCGUCGUCAGUUCGUACUGUGAAGCAUCCUGUUAAGUCAGGCAACGAGCGAGACCCACGCCAACAGUUGCCAGCUCGUCCUCCGGGGAUGGUGGGGACACUGUUGGGACCGCCUCUGCUAAAGAGGAGGAAGGAAUGGGCAACGGUAGGUCAGCAUGCCCCGAAUUAUCUGGGCUACACGCGGGCUACAAUGGGUGGGACAAUGGGUAUCGACACCGAAAGGUGAAGGCAAUCUCCUAAACCCAUCCGUAGUUCGGAUUGUGGGCUGCAACUCGCCCACAUGAAGCUGGAAUCUGUAGUAAUCGUGUCUCAAAAUGGCACGGUGAAUAUGUCCCUGCUCCUU